UACGGGGGGGGGCAAGCGUUGUUCGGAAUUACUGGGCGUAAAGGGCUCGUAGGCGGCCAACUAAGUCGGACGUGAAAUCCCCAGGCUCAACCUGGGAACUGCGUCUGAUACUGGAUGGCUUGAAUUCGGGAGAGGGAUGCAGAAUUCCAGGUGUAGCGGUGAAAUGCGUAGAUAUCUGGAGGAAUACCGGUGGCGAAGGCGGCAUCCUGGACCGACAUUGACGCUGAGGAGCGAAAGCUAGGGGAGCAAACGGG
rnacentral:rRNA from 1 species